UAGGGAACCUUCGGCAAUGGACGGAAGUCUGACCGAGCAACGCCGCGUGAGUGAAGAAGGUUUUCGGAUCGUAAAGCUCUGUUGUAAGAGAAGAAUGAGUGUGAGAGUGGAAAGUUCACACUGUGACGGUAUCUUACCAGAAAGGGACGGCUAACUACGUGCCAGCAGCCGCGGUAAUACGUAGGUCCCGAGCGUUGUCCGGAUUUAUUGGGCGUAAAGCGAGCGCAGGCGGUUAGAUAAGUCUGAAGUUAAAGGCUGUGGCUUAACCAUAGUACGCUUUGGAAACUGUUUAACUUGAGUGCAAGAGGGGAGAGUGGAAUUCCAUGUGUAGCGGUGAAAUGCGUAGAUAUAUGGAGGAACACCGGUGGCGAAAGCGGCUCUCUGGCUUGUAACUGACGCUGAGGCUCGAAAGCGUGGGGAGCAAACAGGAUUAGAUACCCUGGUAGUCCACGCCGUAAACGAUGAGUGCUAGGUGUUAGACCCUUUCCGGGGUUUAGUGCCGCAGCUAACGCAUUAAGCACUCCGCCUGGGGAGUACGACCGCAAGGUUG
rnacentral:rRNA from 1 species